rnacentral:lncRNA from 1 species
AUUUUUAGUAUAGACGGGUUUUCACUGUGUUGGCCAGGCUGGUCUCGAACUUGUGACCUCAAGCAAUCCACCCACCUUGGCCUCCCAAAGUGCAGGGGUUACAGGCAUAAGCCACCGCACCCAGCCUGCCAUUCUUGUCAGUCUUAUUCUCUCAGCCACAUCAGUCAUCAAUUGCUCAAUAAAUAUGGAUUAGGCACCUGCUAUGGGCUAUGUGUUGGCCCCUGGUAAUACAAAGAUGAAAAAGACAAGCCCUGACCAAGGGUCAUGUACAGCAUGUAACCUGUGUGGACAGCUACCCAGGCAGCCUUGGCCUGAGGAUGGCAGGGGUGAGGCUGGGGCUGGCACAGAGGAGCUUAAACAGGUGGAGUCUUAAAAAACAGGAAAGAGUCCUUCCAGCGGAGGCGGAGCAGGGGUGUUCAAGGCCCAGGGCUGAGGCACGCAGCUGAUGGUGUGUGGCAGGGCAAGCAUUUGCUGCUGAGUCUCCUGGGAGGGGAAAGGGUGGUGAGAGGGGCAGCCUGCAAGUAUGUGCAGGCCCCUUUGCAGCUGCUAAUGGACCCAGACCUCAUCCUGAAGGACAGGCAUGAAGCUGGGAGGGCCACCGCGGGUUUGCCCUGUGGCCACACAGCAGGGGCCAGUAGGCAGCCCCCGGGAGCUGAGAACAGCUCCUGCUGGCCCUCGGUCCUACAAGCACCAGGACAUGACUUCUGCUAGCAAUCGCAUGAGGUGGAAAGCAAUCCUUCCCCAGUCCAGCCCCCAGAUGAGAACACAGCGGCCGACCUGAGCUGAGGACCCAGCUAAGCCUGGCCUUCUGGCCCACAGAAGCCUUGAGAUAACAGGCGGACGUCGUUUUAGGACACCCAGUUUGCGGUACGUAGGGAACUAACACGCGGGGCUCUGGCGGGCCUGGCGGCGUAGUGCGAUCUAGACGGGCAGGAAGUGGAGUGAGCGCAGCUAGCGGCUGGGACCAUAUCCCGGAGCGCUGCCUACGGCGGGAGGAGCCGCAAGGGCCGCGGGGUAGGGGACGGCUGGCACGGGCGUGCACGCGGCAGCGGCGGUGGUGGAGGCGGUGCCCGCCCAGCUAGGAGAGGCGUCGGUUCUCCUUCCGCGCUGAAGGCGGAGGCAGCGACUUCCUGUGGAGGCACGCGGUGGACGCCACGGAGGCUGGGGCUGGGGGUGGGCAGGGAGCGGCCUCAGGGACAAGUCUCCCCGCGCGCUGCCGCGACCUCCCCGCUGGGGGCCGGGAGCCAGGAGCCCACGCGGGUCGGUUCGGGAAAGCCUGGUGGGCGCAGCCUAAGUGACUGGGUCGGCUCCGGGACGCGCUGUGGGGGCGGGGCCUCGCGGG